rnacentral:rRNA from 1 species
AGUGAACGCUGGCGGUAGGCCUAACACAUGCAAGUCGAACGGCAGCACAGUAAGAGCUUGCUCUUACGGGUGGCGAGUGGCGGACGGGUGAGGAAUACAUCGGAAUCUACUUUUUCGUGGGGGAUAACGUAGGGAAACUUACGCUAAUACCGCAUACGACCUACGGGUGAAAGCAGGGGAUCUUCGGACCUUGCGCGAUUGAAUGAGCCGAUGUCGGAUUAGCUAGUUGGCGGGGUAAAGGCCCACCAAGGCGACGAUCCGUAGCUGGUCUGAGAGGAUGAUCGGCCACACUGGAACUGAGACACGGUCCAGACUCCUACGGGAGGCAGCAGUGGGGAAUAUUGGACAAUGGGCGCAAGCCUGAUCCAGCCAUACCGCGUGGGUGAAGAAGGCCCUCGGGUUGUAAAGCCCUUUUGUUGGGAAAGAAAAGCAGCAGGUUAAUACCCCGCUGUUCUGACGGUACCCAAAGAAUAAGCACCGGCUAACUUCGUG